UACGUAGGGGGCUAGCGUUGUCCGGAAUCAUUGGGCGUAAAGCGCGUGUAGGCGGCCCGGUAAGUCCGCUGUGAAAGUCGGGGGCUCAACCCUCGGAUGCCGGUGGAUACUGUCGGGCUAGAGUGCGGAAGAGGCGAGUGGAAUUCCUGGUGUAGCGGUGAAAUGCGCAGAUAUCAGGAGGAACACCAAUUGCGAAGGCAGCUCGCUGGGACGUUACUGACGCUGAGACGCGAAAGCUAGGGGAGCAAACGGG
rnacentral:rRNA from 1 species